rnacentral:lncRNA from 1 species
AUCUGAACCAUACUCUCUCGCAGAUAGGAUAUGUUGCAGAUCAUCUUCAUGAUAGAACUUUACAAUCAUGGGAUGUUCUAUAGAAAACAAACAAGUAUUAUUGGGGAUUGGACGGUGAUAUGGAAGGCAUUUGUGCUUUUGCCAACCAAACGCACUCACCAUGAAAAGCUGCUUAGACGACGAGGUCAUAUUCGCCAUCGAUGGCACAUGCAGCAAUGACUCCACCUGAUGCCCAUGAUUGCAUACCUUAGUCACCAUAAGCUGAAAUGUUGAAUGACCGGAGUUAUCUAAGAUGCAUCUUUGCCUAUGUAGCUUGCACUUUUUAAAAACAAUGUAAAUAAACUAUCAUGAAUUGACCUUAUACCUUUCUUUUGGCCUAUAUAAACCUACCAUGCAAUGUAAUAUAUAACGAUAUGAAUGAACGUCAUCCCUAAAUA